rnacentral:rRNA from 1 species
CUUUUGAAUCCGGCUCUGAGGCGCGCACACACCGCCCGUCACUCUCCCCAACUCUAGGCCCAGAAAAUUGUAAACAGCCAACAACCCUAGCCCCCAAGGAGGCAAGUCGUAACAUGGUAAGUGUACCGGAAGGUGCACUUGGAGUAA